AACGAACGCUGGCGGCAUGCCUAACACAUGCAAGUCGAACGAGACCUUCGGGCCUAGUGGCGCACGGGUGCGUAACGCGUGGGAACCUGCCCUUAGGUUCGGAAUAACUCCCUGAAAGGGGUGCUAAUACCGGAUAAGGUCUUCGGACCAAAGAUUUAUCGCCUUUGGAUGGGGGCGCGUUGGAUUAGCUAGUUGGUAGGGUAAAAGCCUACCAAGGCGACGAUCCAUAGCUGGUCUGAGAGGAUGAGCAGCCACACUGGGACUGAGACACGGCCCAGACUCCUACGGGAGGCAGCAGUGGGGAAUAUUGGACAAUGGGCGAAAGCCUGAUCCAGCAAUGCCGCGUGAGUGAUGAAGGCCUUAGGGUUGUAAAGCUCUUUUACCCGGGAUGAUAAUGACAGUACCGGGAGAAGAAGCUCCGGCUAACUCCGUG
rnacentral:rRNA from 1 species